GUGGGCGCGUCCGGGGCGGGGCCUCGGGGUCGCGUUCCUUAACGUCGCAGCGCCUGGACCAGUGUCAGAUGCUGAGGAUGGUUUUCGCCGCCACGGAAGCAGGGAGGGGGAGACCCUGCCUCCCGGGCCGUACAAGGACAGGCAGUCACCAGGCACAAGCAGUCUAACAGAAGAGACUGCCUGAAAGAGCCCCAAUGUCGCCAGAUGGUGACAGUUGAGUGGGGUUUAUGAGGGUUCAACCAAGCACAUUAGCCAAAGGGAGAGGGAAAAAGGACUUACGCCCUGGAAAGAACAAAUGAACAGGGGAUCCAACACCCUGAUCUGACUUCUGACGGCACCAAACAUGCAAAUGAAGCACAGACUUAUGUGGAAAAACUUGAGAUUUCAGCAUCAUUCCAUAGUGGCUAAGGCUAUGAAAUGGGCGAGGAAGGAGAAGGUGACCUCAUAGCAGUCUAGAAGCUGCCUCAAAGUUA